rnacentral:rRNA from 1 species
UACGUAGGGUGCAAGCGUUAAUCGGAAUUACUGGGCGUAAAGCGUGCGCAGGCGGUCCGUUAAGACAGGUGUGAAAUCCCCGGGCUUAACCUGGGAACUGCGUUUGAAACUACAAGGCUAGAGUGUGGCAGAGGGGGGUGGAAUUCCACGUGUAGCAGUGAAAUGCGUAGAGAUGUGGAGGAACACCGAUGGCGAAGGCAGCCCCCUGGGUUAACACUGACGCUCAGGCACGAAAGCGUGGGGAGCAAACAGG